CCUGGUUGAUCCUGCCAGUAGUCAUAUGCUUGUCUCAAAGAUUAAGCCAUGCAUGUCUAAGUGCAUGCCAAAUUAAGGUGAAACCGCGAAUGGCUCAUUAAAUCAGUUAUGGUUCCUUAGAUCGUACCCACAUUUACUUGGAUAACUGUGGUAAUUCUAGAGCUAAUACAUGCAAACCAGAGUUCCGACCAGAGAUGGAAGGAACGCUUUUAUUAGAUCAAAACCAAUCGGUGGCGGGCUUUGCUCGUCCACCGUUUACUUUGGUGACUCUGAAUAACUUUGUGCUGAUCGCACGGUCUCGUACCGGCGACGCAUCUUUCAAAUGUCUGCCUUAUCAACUGUCGAUGGUAGGUUCUGCGCCUACCAUGGUUGUAACGGGUAACGGGGAAUCAGGGUUCGAUUCCGGAGAGGGGGCCUGAGAAACGGCUACCACAUCCAAGGAAGGCAGCAGGCGCGCAAAUUACCCACUCCCGGCACGGGGAGGUAGUGACGAAAAAUAACGAUACGGGACUCAUCCGAGGCCCCGUAAUCGGAAUGAGUACACUUUAAAUCCUUUAACGAGGAUCAAUUGGAGGGCAAGUCUGGUGCCAGCAGCCGCGGUAAUUCCAGCUCCAAUAGCGUAUAUUAAAGUUGUUGCGGUUAAAAAGCUCGUAGUUGAAUCUGUGUCGCACGCUGUCGGUUCGCCGCUCGCGGUGUUUAACUGACAUGCUCGUGAGACGUCCUACCGGUGGGCUUAGCUCCUUCGGGGGCGGUCCAACUAAUAUCCCAUCGCGGUGCUCUUUAUUGAGUGUCGAGGUGGGCCGGUACGUUUACUUUGAACAAAUUAGAGUGCUUAAAGCAGGCUAUCAUUUGCCUGAAUAUUCUGUGCAUGGAAUAAUGGAAUAGGACCUCGGUUCUAUUUUGUUGGUUUUAAGAAACCCGAGGUAAUGAUUAAUAGGGACAGAUGGGGGCAUUCGUAUUGCGACGUUAGAGGUGAAAUUCUUGGAUCGUCGCAA
rnacentral:rRNA from 1 species